AUGGAGAAGGCUUUGAGGAGAUCUGGGUGGAGCACUAUUUUACUCGAUGCUGCUAUACACCGUGAGAAGACUCAUGACAUGACUAACUUACUGUCAACAGUAAAUAUAUGUGGAGAGAAAGAUGGUAAACAAGGCUUAGAAAGAAACCACUCGAGGCUAAAUACCAUUGUCAAACAAAACCAUUUCUUAUCCUCAGGUCUGUUUGCUUGCAAAGUUUCGGGAGAUAAGAAAAAGGCACCAACAAUAUCUGCUACUAUGUGGAACUCAAACUCGCUCUUAAGUCUAGUUUGCUCUUAUUGCCGGCUGGAGUGCAACGGCACGAUCUUGCUUCACCACAACUUCCGCCCCCCUGGUUCAAGCGAUUCUCCUGCCUCAGCUUCCCGAGUAGCUGGGAUUACAGGCACUGUGUCAGAAACUGGGAAUAAAACCACGAACAAGAGUCUGCUCUUAAGCAACUGACAUCUAAUCUGUGUUUUAGCAGAAGGUUUCAGCAAAUACUCAUUGGUCUGAAAUACUCUGGAAUCUAUGAAGAUCUUCAGGGAGUAUGGAAGAGCCCAAUUCAAGAUGCAAUUUUCUUCCUGGUUUUAUUUAAAUGGAGUUUGCUGUUUUCCAACCCAAAAUGCCACAACCAAACAGAAAUGUCUCUAAUUGAUUAAAAGAAUUGUGUUUAUUGCCAACAAGGAGACAUCCUUUCUCAACAUAAUAAAAGGCGUUUUUCUUCCCUUAGAGCA
rnacentral:lncRNA from 13 species